UACGUAGGGUGCGAGCGUUGUCCGGAAUUAUUGGGCGUAAAGAGCUCGUAGGCGGUUUGUUGCGUCUAUCGUGAAAACCUGCAGCUUAACUGUGGGCUUGCGGUGGAUACGGGCAGACUUGAGUUCGGUAGGGGAGACUGGAAUUCCUGGUGUAGCGGUGAAAUGCGCAGAUAUCAGGACGAACACCCGUGGCGAAGGCGGUUCUCUGGGACGGUACUGACGCUGAGACGCGAAAGCGUGGGGAGCGAACAGG
rnacentral:rRNA from 1 species